UACGGAGGGAGCUAGCGUUGUCCGGAAUCAUUGGGCGUAAAGCGCGCGUAGGUGGCCUCAUAAGUCCGCUGUGAAAGUCAAAGGCUCAACCUUUGAAAGCCGGUGGAUACUGUGAGGCUAGAGUACGGAAGAGGCGAGUGGAAUUCCUGGUGUAGCGGUGGAAUGCGCAGAUAUCAGGAGGAAAACCAAUAGCGAAGGCAGCUCGCUGGGACGUUACUGACACUGAGGCGCGAAAGCGUGGGGAGCGAACAGG
rnacentral:rRNA from 1 species